ACUCAUAUUCUCUCUCUCUCUAUCUCUCUCUCUCUCUCUCUCUCUCUCUCUCAGCCGAGAGCCUCUUAUCCUUGCUCUCACCUUCCCAUUUUCUGCAAACACUCAUAUUCUCUCUCUCUCUCUCUCUCUCUCUCAGCCGAGAGCCUCUUAUCCUUGCUCUCACCUUCACUCUCUCAUCAAUCGAACUUGAAAACCAUAAAUUUGGCAUCUCUGAGACGAGAGGAACCUGUUUAUACCUUCGCACGCAUCAUCAGAGCGAUGGGCAGUGAACUGCCAUGGAACCCGUGAGCUUCGAGCUCUAGCUCUUGAUCUCAUUUUUCGAUUGUCUUCUCCGAGCAAACUCCGGCAACUUUGUGAUUUCUGGAGCUCGGGAAUAACUCGAACCAAUCUCAGAAUCUGGCGAGGGUUUUUGAGGGAAAUCCGUCGAGUCCGAGGUGAAUUCGACCCCCAUUCCUCUCAAAUCUGUUCAAAUUUCCAGCGAGGCUCCGGUGAUGGCAGACGGCUACCCUCGACGAUCUACGUUAAGUUUAACGGCAGAACUAAGGAUUCCGUUAACUCUAACGAAAUCAUUCAACAACGAAGGUAUAUUCCGUUAACUAUCUUAAACCCUCACUGCUCUGGCACGUAGCACCAGCGACGGUGAAUGUGACGUCUACUCGCCAAACCGCGGCAGCGAGUACGACAACGUGUUCACCUGCAACUGUGGCCCAUGGCGGCGCAUGUUGUCCGGCACAACACCACUGUGGCGACACGACACCACUGCGGCGACACGUGGUGGCGUGUGAUCGGAGCACGGCUGUGCGUGGCGACGCGUGACACACCCGAGACCUAACCCCAGGUUUUUCGUUGUUUUGAAUCACGUGGUGCCCUCCAUUUGUGCAAAUUCAAAGCCUAAAUGGUAGAGUUGGACAAUGUUCCAUACGUUGAUGUUUUAAACUUGUAUUAGCUUAUAUUGAUUAUCACAUGAUUGUUAGAGGA